UGAUGUAACUGGUAGACCGGUUUGAAUUAUUAGAGAUUCCUCUGCCAAACCUAACUUCUUUGUUACUCAUUUUUCCCUUUGCAGAUCAAUCGAUUCACCUCCUCAUCUCUCUCCAAAAGAUAAAUCUAGGACUAUCGGUAAUUCAACCUUCUCAUAAACCUAAUCUCAUUCAUUAUUGGUUAUUGCAAGUCGUUUCCUUCUCAUCGAUAAAAUGAAACGUCUCUAUAAAAUAUUCAAACUCAGUUUGUGGAUUGUACAUCCAAAGAACAAAGACAUGUGGGGCGCGAAAAGGGAAUGGAAAUAUUUUCUCUUCUUCGCAAAUCCCAGGGUAAAAAGCUGCCAUACAGUUCAACAAAAAAGCAGGCAUACAAUUAAAGUGAUCGAGAAUUUCUCUUGCAAUCAUAAUUGACGCUCCACCUUAGGCACCUAAUUUAGACUGCAAAUAAACUUUGGGAAGAUCAAUCUACGGCUUCGGUUGUGCAAAUGAAACUGUUACACCCGCUCAUACUGUUAGAGCUUCUCCAUGAGGAUCCCCUAAAUUCCGUGUAGAACUCUUGGUUGUUCGCGCAGAGACGAAUUUGCCAUCUCUCAGUGGGUCUUGCCAUGUCCCCUCUGUAAGUUCUGAUAGAAGGCUUACAUUUUUUUUUUUAAAACAUAUGACUUCCAUUGCAUUUAAUUGGUUCGUUUUUUAUUUUUCUAAUCUGCUCGCUCAAUUGCAUUUAGUUGGAGCUCUAGCUAGUAUCUGUGUCUUUUAUAUAACCAGUUGAACCUAAGGCAGUUUGAUGCACAUAUAACCAGUUGAACCCGAGACAGUUUGAUGCACAUAUAACGCAGUUGAUGCACUGGGAUUGACGAACACAAACAUUUAUUGGGAAAUCUAUUACGUCCUCCUUCUUCCAUGAUCACAAUCUUCCUUAGUAUUUUGUUUGUUGGGUGUCUAUUAUGUUUAUUUGAAACUUUUAAUUUGUGCAGACAUGUAAAUCGUGAUUCAGAUCCUCGUGUUUGAUAUACUGUGAGGUUAUGGCAUGGCAGACUAACAAUUUGUAAAAUUUAUAAUUUGGGCAAAUGUUAUGAAGCUCCAUCAACAAGUACUUU